rnacentral:rRNA from 1 species
UACGGAGGGGGCUAGCGUUGUUCGGAAUUACUGGGCGUAAAGCGCACGUAGGCGGCUUUGCAAGUUAGAGGUGAAAGCCCGGGGCUCAACUCCGGAAUUGCCUUUAAAACUGCAUCGCUAGAAUUGUGGAGAGGUAAGUGGAAUUCCGAGUGUGGAGGUGAAAUUCGUAGAUAUUCGGAAGAACACCAGUGGCGAAGGCGACUUACUGGACACAUAUUGACGCUGAGGUGCGAAAGCGUGGGGAGCAAACAGG